rnacentral:tRNA from 1 species
GCGCAGCCGCCGGAGGACGGGUAUUGUUGAUGUCAAUAUGAUAUGGCAUAGCCAUGUUGCGUU